rnacentral:misc_RNA from 1 species
CCAUUGAACGCCGUGGAUGCCGCCACUUUUACCAAACUCGCCUCGCAAAAUGCCCUCUCCACUAAGUUCUCCGCCUUCUGCUCCUCCGCCAAGCUCUUCUGCUUCCCCGAUUUAGCGCCCAGCCUCGAGAAGCACGAAGGAAACUCCAACUUUGCUGUCUACAGCAACAAGAACUUUACCAAUUACGGUUCGGAUUUGGUGAACGGAGUCGACUCGUUCAAGAACUAUUCAGAUGGAGAAAAUAUCCCCGUCGACUCUUUUCGGCGAUACGGCCGCGGCGCCAUUGAUCACAACGAAAAAUUUUCCACUUAUGGCCCUGACGGGAACGUCCCCGACCAAAGCUUCAACACCUAUGGUGCCCAUAGCAGCGGUGGCGCCAGCGACUUCAAGAAAUACAAUGAGCAAGUAAAUGUCCCAAAUCUUCGGUUCACAUCUUAUUCGGAUCACGGAAAUCGCAGGGCCCAAAAAUUCUCGAGCUAUACAGGGGAUACAAACUCCGGCGGUGAAUCUUUCUCCAGUUAUGGGAAGAACGGGAAUGCAAGCCCUAAUGAAUUUACGAGCUAUGCAGAGAACUCGAAUGUGAUUGGCUCAGAUUUUACGAAUUACGGCGAGAAUGAGAAUGGAGCUAAUGAUACCUUCAAGUCUUAUGGGUUCAAUGGAAAUGUUCCAGAGAACAAUUUCAAGAACUACGGCGCUGAAGGAACUGGUAGUUUUGAUACC